rnacentral:rRNA from 1 species
AACGGGAUUAGAUACCCCGGUAGUCCACACCGUAAACGCUGUCUACUAGCUGUUUGUGGAUUUAAUCCGUGAGUAGCGAAGCUAACGCGAUAAGUAGACCGCCUGGGGAGUACGGCCGCAAGGUUAAAACUCAAAUGAAUUGACGGGGGCCCGCACAAGCGGUGGAGCAUGUGGUUUAAUUCGAUGCAACGCGAAGAACCUUACCUACUCUUGACAUACUAGAAACUUUUCAGAGAUGAAUUGGUGCCUUCGGGAAUCUAGAUACAGGUGCUGCAUGGCUGUCGUCAGCUCGUGUCGUGAGAUGUUGGGUUAAGUCCCGCAACGAGCGCAACCCUUGUCCUUAUUUGCCAGCAUUAAGUUGGGUACUCUAAGGAGACUGCCGGUGA